rnacentral:rRNA from 1 species
UACGGAGGGUGCGAGCGUUGUCCGGAAUCAUUGGGCGUAAAGGGCGCGUAGGUGGCCCGGUCAGUCUUUGGUGAAAGCGCGGGGCUCAACCCUGCGUCGGCCAGGGAUACUGCCGCGGCUGGAGCACUGUAGAGGCAGGCGGAAUUCCGGGUGUAGCGGUGGAAUGCGUAGAGAUCCGGAAGAACACCGGUGGCGAAGGCGACUGCCUGGACCAGCACUGACACUGAGGCACGAAAGCGUGGGGAGCAAACAGG